rnacentral:rRNA from 1 species
UUUGAAAUCUGGCCCCGUCGGGGUCCGAGUUGUAAUUUGUAGAGAGUGUUUCGGGUGAGACCACGGUCUAAGUCUAUUGGAACAUGGCGUCAUAGAGGGUGAGAAUCCCGUAUGUGACCGUGGCUCGAGCCCAUGUGAAGCCUCUUCGACGAGUCGAGUUGUUUGGGAAUGCAGCUCAAAAUGGGUGGUAAAUUUCAUCUAAAGCUAAAUACUGGCUGGAGACCGAUAGCGCACAAGUAGAGUGAUCGAAAGAUGAAAAGCACUUUGGAAAGAGAGUCAAAAAGUACGUGAAAUUGUUGAAAGGGAAGCGCUUGCAACCAGACCUGUCCGUAGGUGAUCAACCGCUGUUCUCAGUGGUGCACUCGCUCUGCGAUCAGGCCAGCAUCGGUUCCGGCGGUCGGAUAAAGGCCUUGGGAAUGUAGCUGCCUUCGGGGAGUCUUAUAGCCCUCGGUGCAAUGCGGCCAGCCGGGACCGAGGACCGCGCUUCGGCUAGGAUGCUGGCGUAAUGGCUGUAAGCGACCCGUCUUGAAACACGGACCAAGGAGUCUAACAUCUAUGCGAGUGUUUGGGUGUUAAACCCAUGCGCGGAAUGAAAGUGAACGGAGGUGAGAACCCUUUAGGGCGCAUCAUCGACCGAUCCAGAUGUCUUCGGAUGGAUUUGAGUAUGAGCAUAGCUGUUGGGACCCGAAAGAUGGUGAACUAUGCCUGAAUAGGGUGAAGCCAGAGGAAACUCUGGUGGGAGGCUCGCAGCGGUUCUGACGUGCAAAUCGAUCGUCAAAUUUGGGUAUAGGGGUACGUGUUCUAUUCGAGAUGAUGAGAUGAGAUUUAAUGCUAAUUUUUUGAUAUAGGCGAAAGACUAAUCGAACCAUCCCUUUAAUACGCUAUAGGUGGUUAAUCAAAGUAUCUUGUUUCUCAAAUACUUUCAGUCCUUCGGGGCGACAUCACUACUUGCAUGAACAAACCUUUAGGUUGACAUGCUGCAGUUCUUCCCACUCGUGUGGGGCCUGUUCACA